rnacentral:lncRNA from 1 species
GCUGAGUCCUGAGGACAGGCCACUGCAGCCCGCUCCAGUGAGGAUGGUCGUGUGAGGGCUGUGACGAGGGAGGGGCAGCCACAGUGCCUUGCUUUCCUGGGGGUCUGGGGAAUGCACUGUGCUUGGCAAAAGCCCUCGGUGGCCUUGGAGAGCAGGAAACGAAGAGCCUUGGUGGGGAGAAGGUAGAGGCGAGGUGGGGCUUGCUGCCCCCAGGCUGAGGCUGACCUCCACGCUGGGGUGGGUGGCUGCAGGCCUCGGCUGGCAUUCAGCAGGAAUGUGUGACGGAAUGAUGGUCAGGGCCUGGUCACAGCUGCCUUCCCCCAUUUUCCAUCAUGGCCAUCAGAUUCAAGGUCAGUGUGGCCAGCGGUGGCCCUUUGUGAUGGCUGGUGAGUGGGACUGGGGCACCUUGGGAUGGCCACUCAGGCUCCUGUCCAACCCUCAGUCCCAGCCAUCUUGUGGCAUGGACAGGUCUCCACUCAGGGCCCUUCCAGAAGCUUCCUGGGGUGGGACUUGCAGGCCAGUGCAUCAGGAGGCACACACACAGAGGACCUUGUCCUGAAUGACAAGAGGACUUGAGUGCCCAGGACCAGCUGGUCAGGAAGGAUGCACAGAUGCCUGGGGCAGCAGAGGGAGAUGUGACCAUGGGGAGGAGGAGGAGGAAGCAGGAGGGGAGGUAGCCACACCGACCAGCUCCUCCCGGUGGGUGUGGGGCCCAGAACUUCCCCCACUGUAGAUGAGGUGAGUGGACACAGCAGGUGGUCUGCCAGAAGCCACCAGCACAAUGCCCUGCCCCCAUUGGCAUGGCCCUCCCACAAGCACAUCAGGAAGGGAUGUCUGCUGGCCUGUCCAUGCCCAGAGGCCCCAGGCCUUCCCCUUUCAGGUUAGGAAUUGGCAGCCUAGAGAAGCAGGGGAGGUCCUAGUGCCCCCCAGCCGUGGAGACCAGGCCCAGCUGGUCUGGGAGCUCAAGUCCUUUGGACCCUGGGAAGCGCAGCCCCCCUUCCUUCUGAGAUGGCACUGUGGGAACUCAAGGCAGGCGGGGGGCGGGGCUGGAUAGAAAGCUCAGUGGGAAGACGGAUGGAUGGGUCAAUGAAGUGACAAAAAGUGGAUGACAGACAGUGGGUAAGUGAGGGCUGAGUGG